AUACAUACGCCUUUCUGUUUGCUGUCAGCUGGAUUUUCGUGUGUUGUGCGUGUCUGUGGUCUGGGUUGAGUUUGUUGCUUGUAAUUCCUUGGAUCUGUGUGGAUCGAUCCUGCUGGAAGCCUGGAACCUUAUGCGCGUGGUUCCUGAAUCCUGAUUACCUGCCAUGGAAGAAGAUUUUGUAGUUCAUGGCGUAUAGGGGAGGAGCUGUUUAUGGGCUGGAAAGUAGGAUAAGAUGCGUGUAGCUUUUGGUCGAAUCUGUCAGUCCAAGCUACAAGUCACUUCUGUUAAGCUUCUAUUGCUAUAAAGUUGUUGUUGGAGGUAUGGAGAGAAAUAAAAAAAAAGUUCCACGCCUGUAUCUUUCGCGGUAUAGAUCAUCUUAUAAUGUCCUACUGAAUCCAGAGAAGGGAGUUGUUACUGAAAUGCUCAUGAUACUGUUCUUUUGUGAUGAAACUCUUAAGAGUCCUGGGGUACCUCUUAAUUCACUAAUAUUUCUGUUUAGCGGCGACUUUAGCGAAUGCUUGAGUUAAAUUUUCAGGAUUCAUGAGAUGCAUUUCUGUUACUGAAAUUUGCAAGUCUUAUGAUGGAUGUCCGAUGUGAUGCUUUGAAAUGAUAUGUUGAGCGUUAGACUCGAAAGUUUGUACCUUCAAUAGUUGGAUUUGAUCAUCAGUAAAACAUCCCCUGUUUCGUCUAAAAAAUCUUUAGAAACAGUAUGAAACUACUACUCAUCUUGGGUGUUGCUACGCGGACGAGGCCAACUCUCCUCAUUGCGGGUUGUCAUUCUUCUCUCGUGUCGCUUGUCAUGUCGAGGACGAGGCCCAUCUUGGCUUCCCUCUCUUCGACGGUGUUGGCUGGCCGAAGUGAGGGAGUUGUCGCUGUGCGGAGCGACAUUUGUCCGUAGCUUUAGUUGGGUGGCGUGUGUGGUCGCUAGAAUGACUCUGGCACUACAUUAUACUUGUGUGUAUUUCUUUCUCAUGCUUUAUCAAUGAAUCAGACAAAGCUCCUUGAAAAAAAGUAUGGAGUACUACUCGUUGGACACAUCGAGACGUGUUAUUGUCUGGCCAAUAUCAGAUUUUGUACCCCAAGUCUGCGUCUAGUUUGAGUCCAGGUGGCUUUUCUCCUGAAACUUUAAAUUUUCCUGGUGCAAAUUAUGCAAAGAUCGAGAGUUAAUUUUUACUCCGAUAAAUAACUCAGUUGGUGAUGGUGGCCGUCACAUUUAGACUUUCCCCUAUUGAUCGGACAAAACUCAUAUUUGUGUGCAUAGAUUAUUUGAUCUAGACAAUACACUUCUUUGAACAUAUAUCCUACUCCCUCCGUUCUUACAUGUUUGUCGCUGUUUUAACAGUAGCAAAACCACAGGUAUUGCGGUAGUACGAUAAAAAUGGCUAAACGGAAAAGUGACAGCAAUUAUGCACCGAUUUUCUUUCUUUCUUACAGAUACGGAGUACUCAACUCAAUCAGAGCCUGAGGGCAUUCAUUUCUAGUUAAACACGAAAUUUCCCUUUCCAUAUCAGACUAUGCCUUGAUGGAAUGCACAGCAUGCAUUCUCCGUUCUGCAAAAUUUGUGAAAAGCACACAGCUUGCCCUGUACCUGUCAACAGCCUAAUUUUGGUGACUGUUGUCUGCCAAGUGCUAACCCAUGUGGAAUAAUUAACCGUCUCACCAACCUCUGUAAUGGAUUUCUCUUGCAGCUAUCGGAAAUCGGAUGGCCUCACCUGCGACGCCGACAGAGCCCACCGGCACCCAGGAGGAAGCUGACGCGCGCCAGUCUCUCAUGGGGAUCUCCCGG
rnacentral:lncRNA from 1 species